rnacentral:rRNA from 1 species
UACGGGGGGAGCAAGCGUUGUCCGGAUUUACUGGGCGUAAAGGGCGCGUAGGCGGCCACCGCAAGUCGACUGUGAAAUCUCCGGGCUUAACCCGGAAGGGUCAGCCGAUACUGCGGGGCUAGAGUGCAGAAGGGGCAACUGGAAUUCUCGGUGUAGCGGUGAAAUGCGUAGAUAUCGAGAGGAACACCUGCGGCGAAGGCGGGUUGCUGGGCUGACACUGACGCUGAAGCGCGAAAGCUAGGGGAGCGAACGGG